CAGCUAAGACCCAAGAGUCUCUUUCAAGACACUGAAUUUGAGCAGAAACCAUAAGGAUACUCAAAGGACCUGUGACUCUCAGGAAAUGCAUCAAAUGAGAGAGACAGAUGAAACAGUUUCAAGACAAUGGCAGGAAAAAAAUGCUGAAGAUUGAAACAAACCUUG